rnacentral:rRNA from 1 species
UACGUAGUUGGCAAGCGUUGUCCGGAUUUACUGGGCGUAAAGAGCGCGCAGGCGGUCGAUUUAGUCGUGUGUGAAAGCCCCCGGCUCAACUGGGGAGGGUCACGCGAUACUGAUCGACUCGAAGGCAGGAGAGGGUAGUGGAAUUCCCGGUGUAGUGGUGAAAUGCGUAGAUAUCUGGAGGAACACCGGUGGCGAAGGCGGCAUCCUGGACCGGUAUUGACGCUGAGGCGCGAAAGCCAGGGGAGCAAACGGG